rnacentral:rRNA from 1 species
UACGUAGGGGGCAAGCGUUGUCCGGAAUCAUUGGGCGUAAAGAGCGUGUAGGCGGUCCGGUAAGUCGGCUGUGAAAGUCCAGGGCUCAACCCUGAGCCUGCAGUCGAUACGGGCAGACUAGAGUUCGGUAGGGGAGACUGGAAUUCCUGGUGUAGCGGUGAAAUGCGCAGAUAUCAGGAGGAACACCGGUGGCGAAGGCGGGUCUCGGGGCAGUAACUGACGCUGAGGAGCGAAAGCGUGGGGAGCGAACAGG